UGCACCUUAAUACUGUUAGGCCACCUGUGGGUGAAAGGUUACAGGCAAUUAUUUUUUUUUUGAAUUAUAUAUGAAUAUGGUACCUCCCUUACUACGAAUUUGGAAGAAGAAAGGAAAAUGACACAAAUUAUGAUUUUUAUACACACACACUGAUCAAAGAAAGGAAAAGAACAUAAAUACAUGUAGAUUUUUUUUGUAUCUUCGUACAAUAUUUGUUGUUGUUUUUAUUGAGAGAUGUGGAUCGGAUGAUCUUAUGCAGUUAGAGGAAAAUCAUCCGAGUAUUUUUUUUAUGCAUAGCUUACCUUCCUGUCUUAUGAUAUGAGACAUAAUUUUUGUUGUGACUGAAAUUCUUGACAUUUCUCAACAGUUCGUGGUACCAUACGCUGCAGCGGCGAAAAUUAAAAAAUGGUAAAUUGAGAAAGUGUUUUAGGAAUAUUCCCGAUUAUUUUUGAAAUCCUGAAGGAAAAAUAAAAUUCAUAAUGAUGAAAACAUAAAAGUGGUGAAUUUCCGGCGGUCCAGUUAGAAAUUUGAGUGCUGGGCCGCUGUAAUAUUUUAUGGAUGUUUUUUUUUAAUGUUCCUGCUCACGAGGUUCCACUUCCAACUUGCUGAUUUGUAUUCUAAUUGCAAUUUGUCAUUGGCUAACCCACCGACUACGGGCCUUAUAUCGGUCAGGGUUUUUAAUGAUAUAUUGAGCCAGAACAAGGAGUGAAAAUUACCCUAUUCUUUGGAAAGUAUAGGCUCUGAACCCGAACGCCCAAAUAUCGGGAGCUCCGCCCCCCGAUAAAUAAGCUGGGAACCUAACAGAAAUCAAAAUGUCCGUGAGUCUUAGAUCAUAAAAUUUGACAAAUAAAAUACAAGAAAUAAACAAAAGGGAACAAGUUAAAACAUCGGAAAAGUAAAAGAUUACCAAAAUGAAAAGAAGAAAAAAAUUUAAAGCUGCAAAUAGAAAACGAAAUUAUGUGUUUGUGAUUGUCCGUUAUUUAUUUAAAACAUUUUUUUUUUGUGCGUCAAAGUUUAAAUUUAUUUAUUAUUUAUUUAUUUUUUUAAUUUCCCAAAUUUAAUUAUUAUGUAAGUGAUAAAAACCAUUUUUGAAGGGGUCAACGCGAAAUUUUCGUUUUUGGGUAUCCUAGGGUGAAAUAUACCUCCAAAGAGCUCUCUAGGGGUAGGCUAUCCAGGAUCGUUUUUUUUUGUCAAAGCUAAAUUUAUUACCGAAAAGGGUAACAGUGUCUUUUUUUUGGAUAAUAACUCGACUCCGAGGAAGGGUUUUUAAUCGCCUUUGUUUUUUUUUCUAAUAUUCUUUUUUUUAGUUAAAUUGUCCUGUAAAUUUCGAGUGAUAAAUUUGAUUCGAUUUUUUUUUGUAGUUAAAAAGUCGUUUUGUAUUCUUUAUAUUCAAUGAUGUGAAUAAACUUAAAUGACGCCAAGGGUCGAAAAGAAUCUACUUGUUUGGUGUUUUGUUUAGUUUCAUGUGAAUGAAACUCUGCCUUUUUGAAGAUAUUUUCAGGGGUGUCAUGGUAGCGGAGUUUAAGUGAAGAUGGUAUGAUCUGAAACCGAUCAUCCACCAUCUUUGGGGGAAUCCAAACAUGGCCGCGGAUUUCCAUGGUUGGGAGGGUAUAGGCCACACUGCACCAACAUCCGCAGUGCCCUUGAGAUGAUGAUAGUCCGUCUGCUGUCACAUCUGUCAAAAACGGUUUUUUUCGAUUUUUGUUCUCGGCCUGAUUUAUGUUUUUGUUAGCAGGUGAGGUUAAGUUUCGGGGGCAAGAUCCCCCCCAUCCGGCGAGCUUAUGCCGUGCAUCGCAAGCAGGCCACGUCCUCCGGAACUUGACAUUCCUUCCUUUCCUUUCCAAACACUUCCUUUUCUGAUUUCCUACCUCAUCCUAUUUCCUACCUUACCGACCUACCUACACCUCCUCCGCUCCUCUUGCCUAG